AUGGAUUUAUUAAUUGAACAUAAAGUAAUAAGAACUAAUAAUACAAAGACAGAAAGGGAGAAAAACCAUCACAGAUUACACAACUCUAUACACAUGAAAGUAAUUUUAAGAAAAAAUAACUCCGGUGAUCUUCACUCAAGAACAACUAGUGAUUACACUCAGCUUCAUGAAACUUCUUCAAACAACAUCGUACUAUGUCUGUUUUUCUGUCCACACACUCUAUAUCCCUUGAAGGCUUUAUUUGCAAAUUGA